AGGACGAACGCUGGCGGCGUGCUUAACACAUGUAAGUCGAGCGGAAAGGCCCUUCGGGGUACUCGAGCGGCGAACGGGUGAGUAACACGUGAGUAACCUGCCCCUAGCUCUGGGAUAGCUCCGGGAAACCGGGAUUAAUACCAGAUACGACCACUUUAGACAUCUGUCGUGGUGGAAAGGAUUCCGGCUAGGGAUGGGCUCGCGGCCUAUCAGCUUGUUGGUGGGUAACGCCUACAAGGCGACGACGGGUA
rnacentral:rRNA from 1 species